UAUGUUUUUACUUGUUAAUCAAUUACUUUUAACAUUCAUCAUAUUUAUGACUCGUUCACACGGAUGCGCAUUAAAUGACAGAAUCUUCCGCGGUAGGUAUGUAAAUGUGAACCAUGAUCAAUAUAUUUUCUCCUCUUUGAAUAUUCAGAAAAACCAGUAACAAUAGAAUUCACGCUUGUGGACAUAAAAAAUGGGCGCUUAUUCCUGGGGGUCAAGACCUAAGUGUAGUACAAUUGACUAUACCAAUAUGGGAUUUCAAAAUUUCCCCCUGACCCCGCUGAAUCCGCGAUUAAAUGCAAGUGCGCAAGGUACCCGGCGUCCCUAAUAUUGGCAAUCGUAACUACUCGGCUAUUUCCGUAACCGCAAAUGAACCGGUUACGGGAAAAGGCGAGUGCGUGAUCAAAUUGUAAGAAUGUGCUACACGGGCAGAUGAAAACAACCCAUGGUCUCGCGCGGAAAUGAGCGAAAUGAAAGAGACGUAUCCGGUAGUUAGUAUUUAUCCGGAAUGCUAGUGUGCAAUGGCGGCAAUAAACAAACGAAGCGGAUACGUUGCAUUGAAGGAAAAACUUCUUUAUUUCUUUCUUACCGUUAUGUAGACCAGUGAAAAUAAUGUACAACGAUUAAUCGCAUAAAUCCCAUGAAGAAUAGAAAACUGAAAGUAGGGCAAACAUAGAUCCCUGGACAUAUCAGAGGUGAGAUCAGACAGAUCAUGAGAUGGAAACCAAUGUAAUUGAGAUGAAAAGGGAGUACAACUCGAAAUAUCAAGGAAAAACAAGAAAGGCCAUUGUGAAUCAGCAGAUGAUGUCCUAUACAACCAUCCUUCCAUGACACAUGCAAUGGGAAGUUUAUUUCAGGAAACAAAGCCUGUCUGAAACUCCAAAAUGACAUUUCCAGAAAGCUGAAGAAUGGAUAAAAAUGUAUCUACCAUCUUACAACCCAGAUUUCAUUCCACUGAAAAGAAAAGGGACAGGAAAUUUUGCAUGUCCAUGUCUUAGAAGGCGAAUAGGUGAAAAGUCAAUAGAUGCUUACCAUAUCAGAUGCUUGCAGAGGAUACUGGGGAUAAAGUAGCAGAAAAUUAUGGAAAACAGGGAAGUGACAGCCAGGACUAUGGAGGGGAGGUGACAAUGACAGUGAGAUGGCGUUAGGUUGGACACCAGAAGGGAAGAGGGCAUUUAAGAGACCGAAAACAACCUGGAAAGGAAGAGUAGAAGCAGAAAGAAAGAUUGCAGAAUGGAGAAACUUGAAUGAGAUCAAGCUGGUAGCAAUAGAACAGAGUGGAUUGGAGAGAGUCUCGGUCCUAUGUGUUUUGGCAUGGAGAGAACUAAGUAAUGUCUAGAUUGUUGGAGAUAGGAUGACCAGGAAUAUGAAUGGAUGUGCUGGAAACUUUACUAAGACCCUUAUGCAUUUGGAUAGAUUUACAUACCAUCAUGAUUUUGCUAUGAAAAUCUUGAAAAAAAAUCCUCAACUCAUAUUGUAGCUGACAUUGUACAUUUGUACUUAUUAAUAUUUCAAAUGAACAUAUUUUUAGACAUACAAUAUCUAAACUUUAGAGUCCAUGUACAUCUCCACAUUGGAUAAUAGGUUAUGAUAUAUGUGUGUGAAAUCUUUUCCUAUGGUAUGCACAUGUUAACACAUUAGUUUAAAUGAUGAUGUAUAUCUUAUGACUAUGGAAGAGAAUGUGUUCAGAACAGAAUAUGUGUCUAGAAGAGUUGUUGCCCUUGAAUGUAAUUCAUUAUUUACAUGGGGUUGAAAAAUAAUCCAGCACACAGUAGUACUAAAUGCAUUAUGUUAAAUACAUUUAUGAAGGGUAUAAGUGAUACUGUCAAUUACUGAUUAAUACACUUUGUGAAAUCAUAUUAUUCUUAUGUUUAAUAAAUUUCAAGGCUGUACCUUUGUACAUUUUACAAUAUAAUAUUCUGCACUUUGGUAUCAAAUUCUCUUAACCUAAUUUAAGAGUUACAUAUUCAUUAACAGCAAGUUAAUUAUGAUAUGUUAUGUAGUUUGUCAAAGGGGCAAUAGCUGUGAAAGUGAUGGCAACCUUUUUAUUCAAAAUCUCUCAAUAAGAAUAUAUAUCAAUGCCUAAUAAUAAUAUUUAUUUUGUACAAAAACAGUAGUGUACGUGUACAGAUGUUGUGUACACAGCACCACCCCUCCACUGUCUACAAAAUAUAUACCUGUAUAACCAGCAAUAUCACCAGAAUAUGUUAUUUCCCCACCGAUCAUCUUCAUAAGUCAUUAUGAAGUCAGUUCUACAUUCUAUGAGCUCUGGUGAGAUAUUGAUAAAUACCGUACCACUGGAUCUAAAAGAAAUCCGUUUUACCACCGUCCCAUUUAUUUUCGUUUGAUAGUCAAGAAUUUUAGACGAUCGCGAGUUAUCCUCUGCUACCCCCCCCCCCCCCUUCA